AGCAGCCGCGGUAAUUCCAGCUCCAAUAGCGUAUAUUAAAGUUGUUGCAGUUAAAAAGCUCGUAGUUGAAUUUCGGGAUCAAUACGUCGGUCGUGCUUCGGUACGUACUGGUGUCAUUGAUUUCUCCCUUCUGACGAACCAUGAUGUCAUUAACUUGGUGUCAUGGGAAAUCAGGACUGUUACUUUGAAAAAAUUAGAGUGUUUAAAGCAGGCUCACGCUUGAAUACAUUAGCAUGGAAUAAUGAAAUAGGACGUUCGAUCCUAUUUUGUUGGUUUCUAGGAUCAACGUAAUGAUUAAUAGGGAUAGUUGGGGGCAUUAGUAUUCAAUUGUCAGAGGUGAAAUUCUUGGAUUUAUUGAAGACUAACUACUGCGAAAGCAUUUGCCAAGGAUGUUUUCAUUAAUCAAGAACGAAAGUUAGGGGAUCGAAGACGAUCAGAUACCGUCGUAGUCUUAACCAUAAACUAUGCCGACUAGGGACCGGAUGAUGUUAAUUAUUUAAUGACUCAUUCGGCGCCUUAC
rnacentral:misc_RNA from 2 species